CCCCGUGGCAUCCUCAGCAGCCCGGCCUCUUCCCCUCGGUGGCUGCCACCGCCCCGGGUGUCACUCUGCAGCAGCAGGAGGCCACGGCGGCCGCAUUAGCUGCUGCUCUGGUGGAGGGAAUUAAUUGUCUGAGCAACAGCUAGGGGCAGGAGGGAGCGGGUGAUUAUGCACCCUCGUUUUCUGCCUCUAAUUACCGUGUUCCAAACCCAGGCCCAGCUGAUGCGUUUCAGAGGCGUUUGAGCUCACGGCUCCCCAGCGGCUAAACGUGCGGGGUGCUGCCAGAUGGAGUCGGUUUGUUCAGGCCUACAGCAUCUUCCUACUCAGCAGUGUCUUGCAUUUCUUUGCAACACCUGAAGACUCCACUUUACCAGAACUGGGAUGUUGUCUCCGCAGAAAACACACCAGGAAGGAUCUGGCGGCUGUUUCUUGUGUGUGGAUAUCCAUCAGUGGCAGUAGAUGGCUCAGAUUAGUCACUACCAGGUCACCUUCCUGAUACCUGUCCAAGUCACGAGGGUUGAGGCACCGUGAAUUUGGAUUUAGGGGCAGCUCUGCUGACUCAGAGGGAGUACGAGUCAUCUUCUGCUUUCUGUGGCCAGAUUUGCCACCCCAGGUAUAUCCUGCUUUGGGCCAGGUGAGAGAUGAACUGACACGUAGCUCUUUUGAGAGAACAGGCUGGAAGUGAUGUCUUCAAGGAAAUUAAAUAAAAACAGCAGAGCACAUCCACAAUAAGCAUCCGAUCAAAUUCUUACUCGAAUGACUGGAAAAGCCUCCCAUUAUUUGAGGUGGGCUUAGGUAUGGAAAUAAACAAGAGGCACCAUGGAUAAAAGUGUUUGUCCAGCACUAAUCACUACAGACACUUAAAGAGAUUGAAAUUGCUUUAAAAGAUUACUUGGUGUCCAAGUGACAAUUAUACUCAAGCUAAUUUCUUGUGCAGUCUGGUUCAAUCUAUAUGUCUGCACUUUAAAGGCUCAUUUAGCUCGAAUGAUCAGUGAUCAGAAAUAAAAAUAU